AAAAAUAAUGUUCUAACCAUAUUCUUCGUACUAAGUAAAAAAAGUAAUUAUGUAGAAACAAAUACCAAAAACAAAAGAUAACCCAAAAAAAGUUAAAAAAAACUUUGUAACCCAAAAAAAAAGAUACAAAAACAUUAAAACCAAAAAAAAAGUAACAAAAACUUUAAAACCAAAAAAAAGUUACAAAAACUUUAUAACCCAAAAAAAAAGAAUAUUUAGUUAAAAAGUAAGUAAUAGUAUGUUGUUUUAUAGCUUAUCGUAAUAUAUAAUCAGAUAAUAACUUUAAAUCCUGAUUAUUGGAAAACAAAAAAAGAAUAUGUAAUCACUAAUCAUCUAUAUCUAUAAUAUGAUUAAAUAGAAAAUAAGAUAUUGUGUUUUCUUUAAAAUCCAAUAUACCUAAUGCCCAACAAACCAUAUUACUGGAAUUUAUAAUCACAAGCAGAUUGCAUGACUGAAUGCACUGUAAAAUUACCGUGUCUGCGAACAAUAUUCCUACUGAUUUCAAUAAUGUUGACUCAUAAAAUACACUCUGAAAUUAUCGACAUACAUGGAUAUUUCACAAUCGCGGUCUACGUCAACUAUUUCAUACCGGGGAGUUUGAAAAUUCACACUGAUUUAUACACAGUACGCCUGGGCCAGCUGAGGGAGUUGAUAGACAACCCGCUAUUCGACCCUCUUCGUAACGUGAAUACUAGAAGGUGGCUGCCAAAAGGCGAAGCCCCGUUUCCUGGGUACUGUAGGGCGCCCGGCAGCGGCAAGUGUAUUGAUGCUCUAUGCAAUUGUGACCAGCUCAAAGAACGUUGGAACAUGAGAUUAGCUUCAAUUCUCAGUAAAACCACACAAUCAUAA